CCCCAGACUCCUACGGGAGGCAGCAGUGAGGAAUAUUGGUCAAUGGGCGGGAGCCUGAACCAGCCAAGUCGCGUGAGGGAAGACGGUCCUACGGAUUGUAAACCUCUUUUGCCGGGGAGCAACGGGGUCCUUGCGAGGGCCCGAUGAGAGUACCCGGAGAAAAAGCAUCGGCUAACUACGUGCCAGCAGCCGCGGUAAUACGUAGGGAGCGAGCGUUGUCCGGAAUUACUGGGUGUAAAGGGAGCGUAGGCGGGGAUGCAAGUUGGGUGUCAAAACUACCGGCUCAACUGGUAGUCGCACUCAAAACUGCAGCUCUUGAGUGAAGUAGAGGCAGGCGGAAUCCCUAGUGUAGCGGUGAAAUGCGUAGAUAUUAGGAGGAACACCAGUGGCGAAGGCGGCCUGCUGGGCUUUUACUGACGCUGAGGCUCGAAAGUGUGGGGAGCAAACAGGAUUAGAUACCCGGGUA
rnacentral:rRNA from 1 species